rnacentral:rRNA from 1 species
UACGUAGGGGGGCAAGCGUUGUCCGGAUUUAUUGGGCGUAAAGAGCGUGUAGGCGGCCACACAGGUCUGCUGUGAAAACUCGAGGCUCAACCUCGAGCUGUCGGUGGAAACCAUCUGGCUAGAGUCCGGGAGAGGAGAGUGGAAUUCCUGGUGUAGCGGUGAAAUGCGCAGAUAUCAGGAAGAACACCCGUGGCGAAAGCGGCUCUCUGGAACGGUACUGACGCUGAGACGCGAAAGCGUGGGGAGCGAACAGGAU